AACGAACGUUAGCGGCGCGCUUAACACAUGCAAGUCGAACGAGAAAGGGCUUCGGCCCCGGUACAGUGGCGCACGGGUGAGUAACACGUGGGUAACCUUCCCUCGAGCGGGGGAUAACGUUCCGAAAGGAACGCUAAUACCGCAUAAGACCACGGGCUCGAAAGAGCCUGGGGUAAAAGUAGGCCUCUGAAUUCACGCUUACACUCGAGGAUGGGCCCGCGGCCCAUCAUGGUAGUUGGUAGGGUAGCGGCCUACCAAGCCGAAGACGGGUAGCUGGUCUUAGAGGAUGAUCAGCCACACUGGAACUGAGACACGGUCCAGACUCCUACGGGAGGCAGCAGUGGGGAAUCUUGCGCAAUGGGCGAACGCCUGACGCAGCGACGCCGCGUGGGUGAUGAAGGCCUUCGGGUUGUAAAGCUCUGUGGGGAGAGACGAAUAAGACGUGGCUAACAUCCACGGCGAUGACGGUAUCUCCUUGGCAAGCACCGGCUAACUCUGUGCCAGCCGCCGCUGUAAUAC
rnacentral:rRNA from 1 species